UACGGAGGAGGCAAGCGUUAUCCGGAAUUAUUGUGCGUAAAGCGUCCGUAGGUGGUUGACCAAGUCUGCUGUCAAAGGGUGGGGCUUAACCUCAUAAAGGCAGUGGAAACUGGUGAGCUAGAGUGCGGUAGGGGUAAGGGGAAUUCCCAGUGUAGCGGUGAAAUGCGUAGAGAUUGGGAAGAACAUCGGUGGCGAAAGCGCCUUGCUGGGCCUGCACUGACUAUGAGGGACGAAAGCUAGGGGAGCGAAAGGG
rnacentral:rRNA from 1 species